rnacentral:misc_RNA from 1 species
ACAGAACCAGAUUUAGAAACACAUACACAAACAAAGGCACCGACACAAAGUACUAAAGCACAAAGUAACUCCAGGGUUGCACUUCCUUUCCAAAGGCGACACUGAUGACAUAGUUAGUAAAGGCACCUCUCAGGCUCUAGCCUCACUAGGCUCCAACUCUAGCGCUUGUGUAGGAGAGAUGCAGGCGACAUUCAUUAGACCUUCGCCUUAUGCGCUUAGGUGUGUGCCUUGUUCUAGGCACAAGG